rnacentral:rRNA from 1 species
GUGCAGUCGAACGGCAGCAUGAUCUAGCUUGCUAGAUUGAUGGCGAGUGGCGAACGGGUGAGUAAUACAUCGGAACGUGCCCUGUAGUGGGGGAUAACUAGUCGAAAGAUUAGCUAAUACCGCAUACGACCUGAGGGUGAAAGUGGGGGACCGCAAGGCCUCAUGCUAUAGGAGCGGCCGAUGUCUGAUUAGCUAGUUGGUGAGGUAAAGGCUCACCAAGGCGACGAUCAGUAGCUGGUCUGAGAGGACGAUCAGCCACACUGGGACUGAGACACGGCCCAGACUCCUACGGGAGGCAGCAGUGGGGAAUUUUGGACAAUGGGGGCAACCCUGAUCCAGCAAUGCCGCGUGUGUGAAGAAGGCCUUCGGGUUGUAAAGCACUUUUGUCCGGAAAGAAAUCGCACUUACUAAUAUUAGGUGUGGAUGACGGUACCGGAAGAAUAAGGACCGGCUAACUACGUGCCAGCAGCCGCGGUAAUACGUAGGGUCCAAGCGUUAAUCGGAAUUACUGGGCGUAAAGCGUGCGCAGGCGGUUGUGCAAGACCGAUGUGAAAUCCCCGGGCUUAACCUGGGAAUUGCAUUGGUGACUGCACGGCUAGAGUGUGUCAGAGGGGGGUAGAAUUCCACGUGUAGCAGUGAAAUGCGUAGAGAUGUGGAGGAAUACCGAUGGCGAAGGCAGCCCCCUGGGAUAACACUGACGCUCAUGCACGAAAGCGUGGGGAGCAAACAGGAUUAGAUACCCUGGUAGUCCACGCCCUAAACGAUGUCAACUAGUUGUUGGGGAUUCAUUUCCUUAGUAACGUAGCUAACGCGUGAAGUUGACCGCCUGGGGAGUACGGUCGCAAGAUUAAAACUCAAAGGAAUUGACGGGGACCCGCACAAGCGGUGGAUGAUGUGGAUUAAUUCGAUGCAACGCGAAAAACCUUACCUACCCCUGACAUGCCACUAACGAAGCAGAGAUGCAUUAGGUGCUCGAAAGAGAAAGUGGACACAGGUGCUGCAUGGCUGUCGUCAGCUCGUGUCGUGAGAUGUUGGGUUAAGUCCCGCAACGAGCGCAACCCUUGUCUCUAGUUGCUACGAAAGGGCACUCUAGAGAGACUGCCGGUGACAAACCGGAGGAAGGUGGGGAUGACGUCAAGUCCUCAUGGCCCUUAUGGGUAGGGCUUCACACGUCAUACAAUGGUGCAUACAGAGGGUUGCCAAGCCGCGAGGUGGAGCUAAUCCCAGAAAAUGCAUCGUAGUCCGGAUCGUAGUCUGCAACUCGACUACGGAAGCUGGAAUCGCUA